AACCAACUGAGCCACCCAGGCAUUCUGACAGCUACUGUUUCAAAUUAAGAACACAGAAUAUGAUUUCAGAACCACAGCACUCCCUCUACCCUCACCGAAG